ACCCAAAUAGCUCAGUUGGGAGAGCGUUAGACUUACAAUCGAAAGGUACCCUGGUUCGAUCCUGGAAUUCGGCA
rnacentral:tRNA from 1 species